CCUACGGGAGGCAGCCGUGGGGAAUAUUGGACAAUGGGGGAAACCCUGAUCCAGCGACGCCGCGUGAGUGAAGACGUAUUUCGGUACGUAAAGCUCUAUCAGCAGGAAAGAAAAUGACGGUACCUGACUAAGAAGCCCCGGCUAACUACGUGCCAGCAGCCGCGGUAAUCCGGUGGGGGCAAGCGUUAUCCGGAUUUACUGGGUGUAAAGGGUGCGUAGGUGGUUUAGUAAGGUGGCGGUGUAAUUCCGGGGCUCAACCUCGGCGCUACCGUGAAAACUAUUAGACUAGAGUGCAGGAGGGGUAAGUGGAAUUCCUAGUGUAGCGGUGGAAUGCGUAGAUAUUAGGAGGAACAGCAGGGGCGAAGGCGACUUACUGGACUGUAACUGACACUGAGGCACGAAAGCGUGGGGAGCAAACAGGAUUAGAUACCCGAGUAGUC
rnacentral:rRNA from 1 species